rnacentral:rRNA from 1 species
GUCCAGACUCCUACGGGAGGCAGCAGUGGGGGAUAUUGCACAAUGGGGGAAACCCUGAUGCAGCGACGCCGCGUGAGUGAAGAAGUAUUUCGGUAUGUAAAGCUCUAUCAGCAGGGACGAAAAUGACGGUACCUGACCAAGAAGCCCCGGCUAACUACGUGCCAGCAGCCGCGGUAAUACGUAGGGGGCAAGCGUUAUCCGGAAUUACUGGGUGUAAAGGGAGCGUAGACGGCUGUGCAAGUCUGGAGUGAAAGGCGGGGGCCCAACCCCCGGACUGCUCUGGAAACUGUAUGGCUGGAGUGCAGGAGAGGUAAGCGGAAUUCCUAGUGUAGCGGUGAAAUGCGUAGAUAUUAGGAGGAACACCAGUGGCGAAGGCGGCUUACUGGACUGUAACUGACGUUGAGGCUCGAAAGCGUGGGGAGCAAACAGGAUUAGAUACCCGCGUAAG